AGCGAACGCCGGCGGCAGGCCUAACACAUGCAAGUCGAGCGGCCGUAGCAAUACGGCAGCGGCAGACGGGAGAGUAACACGUGGGAACGCGCCCUUCGGUUCGGGAUAACUCAGGGAAACUUGGGCUAAUACCGGAUACGCCCUUACGGGGAAAGAUUUAUUGCCGAAGGAACGGCCCGCGUCCGAUUAGCUUGUUGGUGAGGUAACGGCUCACCAAGGCGACGAUCGGUAGCUGGUCUGAGAGGAUGACCAGCCUCACCGGGACUGAGACACGGCCCAGACUCCUACGGGAGGCAGCAGUGGGGAAUAUUGGACAAUGGGCGAAAGCCUGAUCCAGCCAUGCCGCGUGAGUGAUGAAGGCCUUAGGGUUGUAGAGCUCUUUCAGUGGGGAAGAUAAUGACGGUACCCACAGAAGAAGCCCCGGCUAACUUCGUGCCAGCCGCCGCGGUAAGAC
rnacentral:rRNA from 1 species